UACGGGGGGGGCAAGCGUUGUUCGGAAUUACUGGGCGUAAAGGGCUCGUAGGCGGCCAACUAAGUCAGACGUGAAAUCCCUCGGCUUAACCGGGGAACUGCGUCUGAUACUGGAUGGCUUGAGAUUGGGAGAGGGAUGCGGAAUUUCAGGUGUAGCGGUGAAAUGCGUAGAUAUCUGGAGGAACACCGGUGGCGAAGGCGACAUCCUGGACCAACACUGACGCUGAGGAGCGAAAGCCAGGGGAGCAAACGGG
rnacentral:rRNA from 1 species